AGUUCUCUUGACCGACCCAACCAAGACAGAAAAACAAAACUAGUGGGGAAGCUCUCUGAAAUGAUUAACAGACUUCAAAGAUGGGCGAAUGACAUAUCCAAGCAACCUAAGCAGAAAAUCAAAUCGAGAGGAAAUGAGAACCAACGAUUCUUAUGUUUUGGCCAUGAAGUAUUUUGCAAAGAGCUGGUGUAUAUAAACAAUGCUGAAAAUUACUGGGAAGAUUAUGUAGAAAACAUGGAAGAGACUAAGGAUCCGAGCGAGACCUAUCUCCCAGUAGGAUUCUUGAACCCUCUCCUCGUUCAACAGUCGGAGAAAAUGUAUGAGAACCUGAACAAGAACUUAAAUAAAGACAAGAGUUAUCGCGCUUCCCUCUCUCGGAAUAAUAUACAGAAAACGAUGGCGGAUCGUGUGUUUUAGAAUGCAUUCGGAAGUUUGUACGUAAUUUAUAAAUUUAAGGACGUUUAGUGGUCAACAAAUUAGUCGUUAGAGCUACCUUAAAGUUUUUUUUAAUCAUUUUUUUUUUAUUAUAAACUGUUAUUUAGUAAAGAAAAGUUCCAUAUAUUUUAAAUUUAAAAUUUGAAUAUGUUCCUAUUUCUGGAUAUUGUUAUAGUCUUAAAAUGGCCAUGACCAUCCAACUCUCUUUUAAAAGCACAAAAAAUAUUUAUAUUAAAAUAUUGUUGGGUUUUUUUUCAUUCCUCACCAUGCUUGGGGAAGAUACCUGUAGAUGUAUUACACUGUGUACAUGUAGUUAUCAAAUUUGAUAAGUGAAAAUAAAUUAUGUCAUU
rnacentral:sRNA from 1 species